rnacentral:tRNA from 1 species
GCCGCUAGAAUGGCUGAAAACCUAGCUGUCCGGUUCGUUCGUAAUGCGGGGGUCACAGGUUCGAGUCCUGUAGGCGGCACCA